CAUGGCUCAGGAUGAACGCUAGCUACAGGCUUAACACAUGCAAGUCGAUGGGGAAGUGGUGCUUGCACCAUGGUAACCAUGGCGGACGGGUGAGUAACGCGUAAGGAACUUGCCUGCGGGACCGGGAUAACAGCAGGAAACUGCUGACAAGACCGGAUAAGGUCAUGAAGCUGCAUAGCUUUGUGAUGAAAGGAGACGCCUGCGGAGAGCCUUGCGUCCUAUUAGCUAGUUGGAGGGGUAACGGCCCACCAAGGCGAAGAUAGGUAGCCGGCCUGAGAGGGUGGACGGCCACAAGGGGACUGAGAUACGGCCCUUACUCCUACGG
rnacentral:rRNA from 1 species